rnacentral:tRNA from 1 species
GGAGAGGUGGCCGAGUGGCUUAAGGCGCUCCCCUGCUAAGGGAGUAUGCCCUUCACAGGGGUAUCGAGGGUUCGAAUCCCUCCCUCUCCGCCA